rnacentral:rRNA from 1 species
GACGAACGCUGGCGGCGCGCCUAACACAUGCAAGUCGAACGAGCGAGAGAGAGCUUGCUUUCUCGAGCGAGUGGCGAACGGGUGAGUAACGCGUGAGGAACCUGCCUCAAAGAGGGGGACAACAGUUGGAAACGACUGCUAAUACCGCAUAAGCCCACGGCUCGGCAUCGAGCAGGGGGAAAAGGAGCAAUCCGCUUUGAGAUGGCCUCGCGUCCGAUUAGCUAGUUGGUGAGGUAACGGCCCACCAAGGCGACGAUCGGUAGCCGGACAGAGAGGUUGAACGGCCACAUUGGGACUGAGACACGGCACAGACUACUACGGGAGGCAGCAGUGGGGAAUAUUGCAAAAUGGGGGAAAGCCUGAUGCAGCGACGCGGCGUGGAGGAAGAAGGUCUUCGGAUAGUAAACACCUGUUGUUGGGGAAGAUAAUGACGGUACCCAACAAGGAAGUGACGGCUAACUACGUG